rnacentral:rRNA from 1 species
GACGGAGGGGGCUAGCGUUGUUCGGAAUGACUGGGCGUAAAGGGCGCGUAGGCGGCUUUUUAAGUGAGGCGUGAAAGCCCUGGGCUUAACCCAGGAGGUGCGUUUCAUACUGAAGAGCUUGAGUACGAGAGAGGAAAGUGGAAUUCCUAGUGUAGAGGUGAAAUUCGUAGAUAUUAGGAAGAACACCAGUGGCGAAGGUGGCUUUCUGGCUCGUAACUGACGCUGAGGCGCGAAAGCGUGGGGAGCAAACAGG